rnacentral:rRNA from 1 species
UACGUAGGUGGCAAGCGUUGUCCGGAUUUGCUGGGCGUAAAGAGCGCGCAGGCGGUCGGAUAAGUCGAAUGUGAAAGCCCCCGGCUCAACUGGGGAGGGUCAUUCGAUACUGUUCGACUCGAAGGCAGGAGAGGGAAGUGGAAUUCCCGGUGUAGUGGUGAAAUGCGUAGAUAUCGGGAGGAACACCAGUGGCGAAGGCGACUUCCUGGCCUGUUCUUGACGCUGAGGCGCGAAAGCGUGGGGAGCAAACGGG